CGAGAGAUGUCAAGAAUCUCUUAGGGCUAGAAAGGAUGAGUUAAAACAUGUCCAAUGACCUGGAGUUGGCCAAGGCUCCCUUUGGCACUACUGAGGUCUUUUCCUCCAUGUGUUCCCAAUUUAACGCUGCUGUUCUUGCCUCGGGAUGAAAUAGCGUUGUUCCAGAUUUCUGGGGGCCCGGUUUGAAGCCUGUCUCUGCCACUUCGUAGCCGAGAGUUAAACUCUUAUUAAUCCUAAUUGUGUUCACCUGUAAGGGCGGGGUGUGCACUUGUCAACCUCACUCUUAGCACAGUGACCUUCCAUCUCAGGCCGUGCCUUGCAGAUUCCAGGGGGUGUCUCAUUUUGUCUCAAGGGAGUGGAGCUGUUUCUAGGGUUUCCUGGCCAAACCUUCUCUGGAUCUCUCCACUCCAUAGAUGG
rnacentral:lncRNA from 1 species